rnacentral:rRNA from 1 species
UACGUAGGGAGCAAGCGUUGUCCGGAAUCAUUGGGCGUAAAGCGCGCGUAGGUGGCUUCGUAAGUCCGUUGUGAAAGUCAAAGGCUCAACCUUUGAAAGCCGAUGGAUACUGCGGAGCUAGAGUACGGAAGAGGCGAGUGGAAUUCCUGGUGUAGCGGUGAAAUGCGCAGAUAUCAGGAAGAACACCCGUGGCGAAAGCGGCUCUCUGGAACGGUACUGACGCUGAGACGCGAAAGCGUGGGGAGCGAACAGG